UUUUUUUUUUUUUUUUUUUUUACCUGUUUUUUCUUCUUAUUCCAGCUUUACUUUUAGAAGCCCAGUCAACACCAUUUCAGGUCACACCUUCAACUAUGGCAAAUAUUGUGAAAGGCCUGUACACUCUCAGACCAGGUAAACACCUGUCAUUUCUGUUGGGAUUGGGCUUGUGUUUCUAUUUAUUACAGCCUUAUCCAAGAAGGCAGUUGUCUUUACAUGCUUCAUGAGGCUAUUGGGAUUAACCCAUUGAGACAAUUGGGAUUAAGGUAGCAGAAAUCCUGGAACUCAAAUCAAAGUGAAAUGUUGGUUUAGGACUCACUUGGAACUAUUUUCUAUCAGUAAAAAGCAUCUGCUUUGGUUUUUAUAUCACCUUAAGAGAGAUUCACAAAAUAAUUGGCUGGAUACAUUUACUGGGUGUGGUGGUGACACUCGCAAGUGCCAUCCUUUGUGGUGCUGAGGCAGGAGUGUAGAGUCUGAAUGCUGCAUACCUAGCUGUUGCAGAACAAAGCAUGAAAAAUGAAAAGAAAAAUGUUUUGUCUUAGUUUUGGCUUUGUUGUUAUGCAGUUCCUUCAUUUCACACUGUAAAUAUGCAUAGGAAUACACACUCAAAUUACGUUUUCUAGUACAUUACAUACAGGCAAGGGAUCCAGAGCAGUUGAUAAAGGGAACAUACAUAAACAGUGCUUUUACUUAUAAGCAAGACCUGUAAAUGACCUUCGUGUGACUAUUUCAUAGCAAACAUAUGGUUGCAAAGAAAUCCAAAGAGCCCUGCAGCUGCCUUCCUGUUAUCUAGCCAUUUACAACAUGCCCAUAGGGGAAGUUUGAGAAAUCUCAGGGCAAAACAUUGUCCUACAGUCGGUUAACACAAAGGAUGCUUUUUAAAAAACAAACAAACAAACAAAAAAACCCACCCAAAACAGAAAUUACUAUUCUGUGAAAUUUUGAUAUCUAGAGAUUCAAAGAAAUAAAAUGUGAGUGAAGUGUGUUUACCAAUAGUAAUACCAGUCAACAUUUUUCGCUGUAGUUACUCACCACUUGAAUUUGAUUAUUUUAAUGAACUCAUAACUGAUGGUAAUUAACUUAAAAGACACUUUAAAAUUUGGCUUGCUAAAAUAAGAACAAAGUGAAACUGGUAUUAAGGAAGUAGAUCCAAGAAAUAGUCUCUUUCUGAGGCCACUAUAAAAUGAUCAGUGACAUGUAGAGUGUCCUGUUUAUGCAACUGGCUUUGGUCUUAAACUCUAUUCUUUGUUACUUUUAACAAAUCAUUUGUAUAAAAUACUUAUAUAAAGUUACCAAAAUAUUUUAUUACAUGUUCUAGUAAGCUGGUAUUUUUCUUCUAGUUUUUCUAAUAUUUGAAUUUCAUUUUUAUAGUGUUAUUAAAAUGCCUCAUGAAUAUUUCUUGUAUACUAGGUUAUAGAUGAUGUUUUUCUUUUAUGUUGGAAGUCUUCCCAGUGUAAUAUGACAAAAUCUGCCUUUAUUAGCCAUGACCUUUUACACAUGCAGCAAAAUUGCAGAAUAAAGCUAUUAUCACUGUGGGUAGAAGAAAAAUGUAGGUGCCUGUUUAUCUAAAUGCUGUUUUAUCCAGGUUGGGUUCUUGUAAUAGGAUUUAUACUCCUUGUGAAGAAAAUUCUGUGUUUGAGAAUUGUUCUUUUCAAAAGGUGAAUUUUAUCAGAGGCUAACCUUUUGCUGCCCUAGGCGCUUUCAGAGAUGUUAUUAAACAUGUUUUGACAUUUCCAUGUCUUGGCAGUACCCAUUAUGUUCCUGGUCUAGUAAAAUUCUAGGCACCUGACAGAUAAAGGUUGGAAUAUUUCAAAGCUGAAUUUUAAAUGUAGAAGUGUCUUCUGUCACAGGUGUCCUUGAUAAUGUUAGCCUUUCUGUGCCACAGUCGAGUCACCUUGGGAGGUUUUCAACCUUAGAUUCCUGCCCCAACCCACUGGCAAUUUGGAGGACUUAGCAUUAAUGCUAAAUUUUCAUUAGAGUUUUUAGAAACUCAGCUGGAACCAGCUUCAGCCAUCUUACCCUGCUUCUUUUCAGCUACUGUAAACACUUUUGUUUCUUAUCUUUAUUUUAAUAACUAGAAAUCACACCAACUGGUGGAAGGAUUUGGUUUCUGUGCCUCAGAUGAUUGGCUAGUCAUUACCCAGAAGACCCUAAUGACUUUCUAAAACCACAUGCCAGAGGGGCACACCACUGAGAGCAUUUGCCAUGAUGCUGAGCAAGGGAGGUGUAGGCUGGGUUGCUCCACUUCCUACACUGCAUGUUUCCUUUAACUUAGCUCUUCUCCAAUUGGACAUUUUCCCCCCCUACUUUUUAACUCUUCAUUGGCCCACCACUAUGUGGCAUCAAAACUGUGGCCAUUUCAGAUUGCAACUUUUCAAGUGGCUUAUGGGCUUACAGAGCAUUGGCAUGUUCAUGGUUUUCCAGUAUAAACAGCCACGCUGUUUACAGAGGAAUCUUGAAAGCCUUAACCUGAGAUAUUUGAAAAGGCUGAGCCGUGCUCAUGAAGAACCCAGUCAGGAAGGUGAGGGAGGCAUCAGUGCCAUCCCUGAGUGGAAGACCAGUGUGCAUAUAUGCUUUACUUUGCAUAGUAAAAUUUAGUAUUUACGAGCCUUUUUAAUUCUCUGUAUCUUUUUUUCUUCAAAUUAUCCAUUCCUGUAUUUUACUCAUCCCUGAACCUGACAUUUUUGUCAUGUCUGUUGAAACAUAUAUUCCUAUGACCUCUCCUUGCUUUUUUAUUUUCUAUAGAUUAUUCUUUUGGUCUCUUCAUGAUCAUGCAGUUUUCCUUACCUUUACUGCUUUGCUCCCUCUCCCACAUGGGGUUGUAAUUCAACCAGGAGUGAGAAGAUUUUUAUUUCUAAAGCAUCUGCUGGUUCUCUGCCUUCUGAAGUGUGGUCUGGGCUGCUUUGUUGUUUGAUUAGUGAGCUCCUAGAGCUGGGGUUGCCCUCAGGCUGCCCUCUCCACAUUCUCUUCCAUUGGAAUUGCCUAGUUAUCUCACUUAUGUUUGCCUACAUCUUUAGAAUUUUUUUGUAAUAUUUACUAAAAAGUUACAGAUUCCAUUUUCUUGAAUCAAUCAUGUAAAAAUGUCCGUUUUCUUUAUAAUUUUAGAUAUAAUUUUGUAUAAUAUAUACAAAAAUAUUUUUGUAUGUUCACCAAAACAGGGCUAUACUAGGUUUUAUUAUUUGGUUUAAUUCAACUUUUUGUUAUUUAAAUAAGAAACUUGUUUGUCUUAUUUAAAUUAUUAUUUCCUUGAUGAAUCAUUUGUUUUCCUUGACAGAAUGGGUUCAGAUGGCUCCGACAUUGUUUUCUAAGUUUAUUCCAAACAUUCUUCCCCCGGCUGUGGAAUCUGAACUUUCUGAGUACGCUGCCCAAGAUCAAAAGCUUCAAAGAGAACUUAUACAGAACGGUUUUACCAGGCAAGUGGGCUUUUCCUUAGUGACGACUUCCCAUUUCUCUAGGCUUCUAGCCUGGCCUGGCAUACUGCUGAACAUCUUGGGCAGAGGAGUCGCUGAGAGCCAGGCCUGCAGGAUACUUACUGUGGUGGAAGCUGCUCGUUUCUGUAUGCAUUGUGGAGAAUGGGCAGUUAGACGGACACGUCUCUUCUGGCUUGGAGUUUCUAACAUUAAUCUUGAGCACAACAAAAACAUUAUUGAAACAUUACAAAGAAUUACUAUGCAUUUUCCCACUAAAAUGUCUUUCAUGUUUUCUCUAAAUCUAAAUGUUCUUUAAAAGUAGAGUAUCUCUUUAUAAAUGUUCAGAAAGUUUGCUUCCCUUGCUUUUGGUAUAUAGGCUUUAUUUUUCUAAAAUGUUUGCAAUUUCUUAUUAUACCUAUAUCACAGAAAAAUCUGGAAAAGUACAGUUCUUUUUUCUUUUUUUUUUUUGUUUUAAUAUUUAAAUUUAAAUGAAUUAAUAUAAAAGUCAGGAAGCAGUUGUUCAAGGAUACACUAGUAACUUAAGUUUUCAUAUUUUUUACGUUUAGCUAUCUCACCUAUCUUCUGGUAUCUGAAUACCUAAUAUUGAGGAAACUUUUUUAUAAAAAAGACAGGGAUGGACAUUCUUCUAAACAAUUCUGAGACCAAACUGAAUUUCAUGGGAUCAAAAAUCCAGAAAAACAACAAUAUCCCUGCCCCCCCCCCC
rnacentral:lncRNA from 1 species